AAUCCCCCCUCUUCCUCCUGCUGGAACGCUGCCAGGUGCUGCCACUUCUUGAACACUGCAACCUUCUCCGGCUCCGAUCUCUGAUUUCGAUGCUGAGACGGCUGCUGGUGAUCCUCUCGCGAUUUCAUUUCUGCCAUCCGAUCAAUCGCGACAGGUGAAGUAACAAGAGGAGACAGAAGAGGGAUGGCUGCGUUCCAGCAGGAGGAAGAGGGGGGAUUGAUCUGCAAGGACGCCGGUCGCCGGCUCUGAAGACGGCUGGGCUGCGAUGUAGAAGGGACAGAGGCGGAGGUUCUGUUCCUGGAGACGUCCGCCAUAUAAGGAAGAUGAAUA
rnacentral:misc_RNA from 1 species